rnacentral:rRNA from 1 species
UACGGAGGGGGCUAGCGUUGUUCGGAAUUACUGGGCGUAAAGCGCGCGCAGGCGGAUGUUCAAGUCGGGGGUGAAAUCCCGGGGCUCAACCCCGGAACUGCCUCCGAUACUGGACGUCUGGAGGACGGGAGAGGCGAGUGGAAUGCCGAGUGUAGAGGUGAAAUUCGUAGAUAUUCGGCGGAACACCCGUGGCGAAGGCGGCUCGCUGGUCCGUUUCUGACGCUGAGGCGCGAAAGCGUGGGGAGCAAACAGG